AGGAAGUGCCUCCGCCUUGUCCAGAUAUACAACCAAGAUGGCUGAAGAAGGUGGAUCGGCAGUCUUACUGGUGACGCUUUCAUUUCUCUUUAGGACCUGAGGGAGAAUUGCAAAAAGCAUGACUCACUUCAGUCCAGGGAUGUCCAACAAAUUAGUAAGUCCAGUCCAAUUGAUGUCCAGUUUCUGGUAAGAGAUAACACAUGUGCUGUAUGUAGCAAAUCAAUCAGGAUAGAUGAUAAAUCAACAGCAUGAAAAGCAUACAAGACUAUCGAGACACAACUUGAUAGAGUCUCGUUCUCUCCCGUUCACAGGAAUCGGGGUUGAUGGGCAACCAGAAAAUGACAAAAAGAAGUGAAUGUAGAUGGACGUACAGGCCGCUGGAUGAAAAAACAUGGUGACCGCACCCACUAUGGGCACAUCUCCAAUCAGGGGCUCCAGAAUCACCCGCAUCAUCCCAUGUAGCUGAGGACAGAGGAGCACGACGGAUGUUUGUGACACACAUGGAUAAAUGCUCAAUGAAUGGCCCAUUGUAUAAUUCAGUUAUCCAUUAAGACAACAUAUUUGUAUUAAUGACAUGCUACUCUGUAAUUUAAUUGAAUAAUACUUUUAACCUUGAAAAGAAAACUGACCUGUAUUCCUUUGACGCCAGCUUUGCAGAAGUAUCUUUUAACCUCAACAUCGAUCUCUACAUUGCCAACAUAGCUGAGGACACAAUGAAGAACAAAAUGUCAUCCACAGUAAUGCCUUCUAAAAGUUGUGAUACCAAGGUGAGGGUGUUCCCAAACAUUCACCUAAUAUAAAGAUCUAGCAGUACUUGUCCUCUGUCAUUCUCAGUGUGUGCUUUGAUCCCUACGACUUUCAUGGCCUGCAGCAAAGAGAAAGCACAUUUUCAGCACAAUAAAAACAACAUGCAUCUGUGUGAAUCUUUA